rnacentral:lncRNA from 1 species
AGCCACAAUAUUGGUGCCCUGUCAUGAGCUAGAAAUAUGGUUGUGGUAGUUUAGAGUUGAUGUUGGCUAUAUUUCAACACACCUUACGGAGCCCUAAGGUGGGGUUUAUAUAUCUGGUGAUGUGGCAACAUUCUCAGAGGGUCGACCUCUUAUGAGGGGCUCGGCUCAUCCCUCGGUUGGAGAAUUAAAGAGAGACUAACUGCUCUGUCUGUCACU